rnacentral:rRNA from 1 species
GACGAACCGUGCGAACGUUGUUCGGAAUCACUGGGCUUAAAGGGCGCGUAGGCAGGCUAUCAAGUCCGGGGUGAAAUCCUCCAGCUCAACUGGAGAACGGCCUCGGAUACUGAUGGUCUCGAGGAGGAUAGGGGCACACGGAACUGUGGGUGGAGCGGUGAAAUGCGUUGAUAUCCAUAGGAACUCCGGUGGCGAAAGCGGUGUGCUGGAUCCUUUCUGACGCUGAUGCGCGAAAGCCAGGGGAGCAAACGGG